AUGGUGUUCCCAAAAAAUGGUGGUUCCAAGGAGGGAUGGUUCCAGGGAAUUAUGAACCCAGGAAAUGAUGAUGAUUCCAAGGAAUUAUGGGUUCAGGGAAUGAUUGUCCUAAAGAAUGAUGGUUCCAGGGAAUGGUGGUUCCAAGGAAUUAUGAACCCAGGAAAUGAUGAUUCCAAGGAAUUAUGGGUUCAGGGAAUGAUUGUCCUAAAAAAUGAUGGUUUCAGGGAAGAGUGGUUCUAAGGAGGGAUGGUUUCAGGGAAUGGUGGUCGAAGGGAAUGGUGGUUCCAAAGAAUGAUUGUCCUAAAGAAUGAUGGUUCCAGAGAAUGGUGGUUCCAAAGAAUUAUGGUCUCAGGGAAUGCUGGUCCCAAGGAAUGGUGGUACUUUAGAAUGAUGGUUUCAGGGAAUGCUGGUUCCAAGGAAUUAAUGGUUCCAGGGAAUGAUAGUGCCAGGAAUCACUGAUCCUGGCACUAUCCCUGAUGAUCUCAGGGAACGAUGGUUCCAAGGAAUUACGUUUUCUGGAAAUGAUGGUCCAGGGAAUGAUAUUCUGUAGGAAUGGUGGUUUUGGGGAGUGAUGGUCCCAAAGAAUGAUGAUCUCAGGGAAUGGUGGUUCCAAGGAAUUACAUUUUCUGGGAAUGAUGCUCCCAGGAAAUGAUGAUUGCAAGGAAUUAUGGUUCCAGGCAAUGAUAGUGCCAGGAGUCAUGGUGCUAAGGAAUGAUGCUCCCAGGGAAUGAUAUUCCUUAGGAAUGGAGGUUUUGGGGAAUGAUGGUCCCAAAGAAUGAUGAUCUCAGGGAAUGGUGGUUCCAAGGAAUGGUAGUUCCAGGUCAUGAUGAUUCCAAGGAAUUAUGGUUUGAGGGAAUUAUGGUUCCAAGGAAUGGUGGUUCCAAGGAAUGGUGGCUCCAGGGAAUGAUGAUUCCAAAGAAUUAUGGCUUCAGGGAAUGAUGGUUCCAAGGAAUGAUGAUUCCAAGGAAUUAUGGCUUCAGGGAAUGAUGGUCCCAAAGAAUGAUGAUCUCAGGGAAUGAUGGUUCCAUGGCACC
rnacentral:lncRNA from 1 species